ensembl:ncRNA T27A3.11 ncRNA
UCCUCGAACGUCAAGUUCAGGCGAAUAAAAAAACCAACGGUGAUUGGUGAGAAAUAGUACUUCAAAACGGAGGAGACGACAGACACGGGAGAGGCGGAAUUAAUUUUAUAGUUCGGCUAAUGG